ACAGAGCUCUGCACACACUGGAGCUUCGCCAUGAUACAGUGGAGCUGCCGGAAUGCCAGAAUGCCCUCGCCUGCAGACCAAGGAUCAUCACUUAGUUUUUGCAGCCUCUGCAGAGUCAUAUAGCAGGGACUGACAAACAGCAGGUUUUUGUGCAUUUUGCAGUCCCCAUCUUUACCAUAUGUUAAAUGGAUAUUAUGCUUGCCGCAGCAUGCCUACGGAUCAGUAAAAUGUCCACGUGUACAAGUAAGUUGACUCAUGUAGCCUUUGGAUACAGAUUGAAGUUUUUGAUGCUUCUGUCAUCUCAUUGAUAUAGUGUGACUUCAUUCAGGAUGCUGAAGUGUGAGCCCUACAAGGAGAUCCCUGAUCAUCAGGCCCAGCGACCUCCUGUUCCUGCAAAUGGAGCCUGCUCCACCAGAUCUGUCCACGUCAGAGAGGAGCAGAGUGCAUCCCAAAAUGAAUUUUUUCCCUUACACUACUAUACCUGUACUCUUUUUCCUUAUUGUAAAAGCAGUUCGUUGGAUAAAAUCUGGAAAUUAUUGAUUUGAAACCUCCUCCUAUUAUCUAGAGAAACCUAAUAUUUUAAUAUUUAUCUUUCUCAUCUUCUUCUCUAUGCCUAUAUCCCUGCAAUUGUUUUUUUACAAUAUUAGAACCAUGUCAUUCAUACUAUUUUACAAUAAAGAUAGCUUUAAUUGUUUUCCAAAAAUGAAAUGGGCAUUAUAAAAAUCACAACAGUGCAGAAAAGUAAAAAGAAAAGAGUAAAAAAGGCACUUGAUUGUCCAAAGGUUAUUACUUGCCAAAGUAUUAAGGCCAUCAGGCUGCAGACUUAAACAUGGCUAGUUUAUGAUAUUAACAUCACUCUUUCAGACAUUUGCCAGAGUAUAGCUCCUCAUAAGGAUUUGUGUGAUUGUUGAUGUUUGGUAAUGUGCUUUUGUACUCAGUAAUAUCAUGUGGACAUAUUUCUGUGCCAGUAAACACAGGUUGGCUCCCAAAGUUUUGCUGACUCAUCACAUUCUACUUUAUAGACAAACCUUAAUUUCUUAAGAAUUUUCCUGCUAAUCCUGCUGUUACUACCAAUUACCCCCUGAUAAACAGUGCUGUCCUAUAGGGCACUGUAGCUAUUUGCAUAAUCUCUUAUGCUGGAUCCCUGCACGUGGUGGUGGUGGUGGAUUGAUGGCUGUGCUUGGCUGUACAGUUCCUACCUGUGCAUUAGUGAGUUCAGUUCCUUAUAAUCUUACCAACAUCAAGCAUUACCAUGUAUGUGUUUAUUUGAAAAGGUAUCUCGUUCCUGUUUUAUUUUACAUUUCUUUACUCUCAAGUGUGAACAAACAUAUCUAGAGUUUUUCAUCAACCAUUAUUCUCCCGUUGUGAAACACCUGUA